rfam:Caenorhabditis briggsae complete genome, chrIII
GUGUCCGGUCCGGCGUUGAUGGGUUAUCAAUUUCUGAACCCCUCCCAUUGGCACCCAUUUGACCGUUGA